GCAGCUCAAUUGGCAGAGCAUGUGGCAUUUAAGCCCAUGGUUGUGGGUUCAAGCCCCAAGUUGAGCUGCA